rnacentral:rRNA from 1 species
GAGUUUGAUCCUGGCUCAGGACGAACGCUGGCGGCGCGCUUAAUACAUGCAAGUCGAGCGAGAACCGGAGCUUCGGCUCCGGGGACAGCGGCGAACAGGUGAGUAACACGUGGGUAACCUGCCCUCGGCACCGGGAUAGCCCGGGGAAACCCGGAUUAAUACCGGAUGGCCCUUUCGGUCUUCGGACCGGUCGGGAAAGGUAGCUUCGGCCUCCGGCCGAGGAUGGGCCCGCGGCGGAUUAGCUUGUUGGUGAGGUAACGGCUCACCAAGGCCCCGAUCCGUAGCUGGUCUGAGAGGACGAUCAGCCACACUGGGACUGAGACACGGCCCAGACUCCUACGGGAGGCAGCAGUAGGGAAUCUUGCGCAAUGGGCGAAAGCCUGACGCAGCGACGCCGCGUGCGGGAAGACGGCCUUCGGGUUGUAAACCGCUUUCAGGAGGGACGAAGCCACUCGGGUGAAUAGCCCAGAGGGUGACGGUACCUCCAGAAGAAGCCCCGGCUAACUACGUGCCAGCAGCCGCGGUAAUACGUAGGGGGCAAGCGUUGUCCGGAUUUAUUGGGCGUAAAGCGCGUGUAGGCGGCCAGGUAGGUCGGUUGUGAAAAUUGGAGGCUCAACCUCCAGACGUCGAUCGAAACCAUCUGGCUAGAGUCCGGAAGAGGAGAAUGGAAUUCCUGGUGUAGCGGUGAAAUGCGCAGACAUCAGGAAGAACACCGAUGGC